rnacentral:tRNA from 1 species
GGCAAUGUGGCUCAGUGGUAGAGCGCUUGCCUCGCAUGCGUGAAGCACUGGUUCAAUUCCUCAGUACCA